rnacentral:rRNA from 1 species
UUGUGGUUAAAAAGCUCGUAGUUGGAUCUCGGCGGACUGAGGGCGGUUUGCUUGCUAGUAUUACUGCCCUAUAGUCCGUAGUUUUGCCAGAGGUUUCGGGGUGCUCUUAAUCGAGUGUCCCGGGAUGCUGGCAGGUUUACUUUGAAAAAAUUAGAGUGCUCAAAGCAGGCUAUUACGCCUGAAUAUUCGUGCAUGGAAUAAUAGAAUAGGAUGUCGUUUCUAUUUUGUUGGUUUUCGGAAAUCGACUUAAUGAUUAAUAGGGACAGUCGGGGGCAUUUGUAUUCAAACGACAGAGGUGAAAUUCUUGGACCGUUUGAAGACAAACUACUGCGAAAGCAUUUGCCAAGAAUGUUUUCAUUAAUCAAGAACGAAAGUUAAAGGUUCGAAGGCGAUUAGAUACUGCCCUAGUUUUAACCAUAAACGAUGCCAGCUAGCGAUCUGCGGACGUUUUUUUUGUAGACUCCGCAGGAAGCUUCCGGGAAACCAAAGCAUUUGGGUUCCAGGGGAAGUAUGGUUGCAAAGCUGAAACUUAAAGGAAUUGACGGAAGGGCACCACCAGGAGUGGAGCCUGUGGCUUAAUUUGACUCAACACGGGAAAUCUCACCAGGCC